rnacentral:rRNA from 1 species
UGGGGAAUAUUGCGCAAUGGGGGGAACCCUGACGCAGCCAUGCCGCGUGAAUGAAGAAGGCCUUAGGGUUGUAAAGUUCUUUCGGUAUUGAGGAAGGUUGAUGUGUUAAUAGCACAUCAAAUUUGACGUUAAAUACAAAAAAAAGCACCGGCUAACUCCGUGCCAGCAGCCGCGGUAAUACGGAGGGUGCGAGCGUUAAUCGGAAUAACUGGGCGUAAAGGGCACGCAGGCGGUUAUUUAAGUGAGGUGUGAAAGCCCCGGGCUUAACCUGGGAAUUGCAUUUCAGACUGGGUAACUAGAGUACUUUAGGGAGGGGUAGAAUUCCACGUGUAGCGGUGAAAUGCGUAGAGAUGUGGAGGAAUACCGAAGGCGAAGGCAGCCCCUUGGGAAUGUACUGACGCUCAUGUGCGAAAGCGUGGGGAGCAAACAGGAUUAGAUACCCUGGUAGUCCACGCUGUAAACGCUGUCGAUUUGGGGGUUGGGGUUUAACUCUGGCGCCCGUAGCUAACGUGAUAAAUCGACCGCCUGGGGAGUACGGCCGCAAGGUUA